rnacentral:lncRNA from 1 species
GUGCGUCUUGGAAGAGUGUUGCCAUCGUAUACGCUAAAAGCUGAUUGGCUCCGCCAUCUUUUGCUCAGAUUUCCGGAUUAAUUUGGAAGGGGUAAACAGAUGAUGAGUUGUUUAUUUUUCGUUUACUCUAGUUUAACCUCACUUAACUAGAUAGAUCGAGAAAUAUUAAAUUACUAUUACUAUUAUUCAGGUUGAAAAAUGCCUUCUUCUAAGGUAAAAGGUUGCGAAGUCGAUAGGGGAAAAAUAAUGUGAAAAUGAAUUCUUUCCCAAAAGAAUCUGAACGACGGAAAGUGUGGAUUAAAAAUAUAGGGUUAAAACAAGAUCCAAACAAAUAUGCUGUUGUUUGUGAAGAACACUACUUCUGACAUGUGGAAAAAAGUUGGCAAGAUGGCAGCAGAAAAUUAAAAUGCAAUGCUGUACCAACAAUAUUUAGAGAAGAAAGCGAAAGUAUUUAAUUAUUUAUAUUGGUUUUUUGUUUAUUCACCAAUUUAACACCUAUAGAUAUUUGUAUAACAAGAGAGCGAAGUGCACCUUUUCCUCCCAAGAAUAAAGUGUACUAGUUUACUACAGUAAUCAUUCAAGGGAGGAAAAGGCACUUCUCCCAUGUUAUACAUUUUUCCACCUCCCUCAAAUAAGUCAUUUUUCCAUUUUUAAAAUAUUUAUAUAACUGUUGAUUGAAUACAUGAAUCAUAAUUGAAUACAGGAAUUUAUGUAUUCAAUCAACAAUAGAACUAACAAAAUUUAUUAGAGAACUAAAACUAACAAGUAGGUACAGUAUAACUAUCAAAUUAUUAAUGAAAAAUUUUUAAAUCAAAAUAACAAUUUACUGUUUUUACCAUUUUGCAACAUCUAUAAAUAAAAUUUAAAAUGUAUGGAUACUUACCUAAUACAAAAUAGAGUAAUAGUAUAGGGUGUCAAUAAGUUAUUUCAUCUAUGCUAUGACAUAGUAUGACGUCAACAUCACUUACUUUUACUCCCUAGGGAUUAAAAGUACUUUGUUUCCCUAGGGAGAAAAAAUAUGACUAUGCUCCCUACAAUGAGGCCAGGAAAUGUAUACUUUGGAUAGAGGUAGGUGGGAAAAUCUGUUUUAUUCAGUUAUUGUGAUUUGUUUCUUACAAUCAGUUUGUUCUAGCACGAGUUUCAAACGGUCUGAAACCAUUAGCGAAUAGUGGACCAGCACGAGUAGAGGGGAUAGCACUCGUAACUGUAUUAUGUUCUCUCACUGACCAACUGUUUGCUGACUAGUUCGACUGUUUGCUAGAACAAACCUAUUAUUCAAACAAAAUGUCCUCUACGUCAGACUGAUCAGAAUUGUAAAAAUGUGUCAUAUCAAUCAAAUCAAAAAAUUUAAAAAAUUGUUCCUGUAACCAUUUUUAGUGGAAAUAAUAACAGUACUUAUAUUGGAUCAGAGAGCCACCCAAUUCAUUGUUAAAGUAUGAUAAACUAAAAGUUAAACAAUUAGGCAUGCACUUCAUAUUAUAUUUAAUGAAAUAUAACCCACUGGUACUCGUACAAACUUGACGGCAAGCAAAUUCAACAAUUUUUUCCUCAUUUAUUAGUUUUUCACUACCGUUAAGUUUGGAAACAAGCGCUGUUGCCAAAUAAAAACAUAUACAGUCGGAAAAAUGAAAGAAUACCCAUGAACGAUCACAUCAAUCACAUAUUUUGUAUUUGCUGUUUUUUUUUUCAUAAAUAAUAAAUGAGAGAGAUAGAUUAUUAAUAAUCUGAAUAAUAUGUGAUUGAUGUGAUCGUUCAUGGGUAUUCUUUCAUUUUUUCGACGGUAUGUAUUUACCACAGCAACUACAGGUGACACUGUUUCUCUUUGUCUUUAAGAGUGUGAAACAAAGAUAACUACAGUGGGAAAAAUAAAGAAUACCCAUGAACGAUCACAUCGAUCACUUAUUUUGUGUUUCCUAUCUUUUUCUAUAACAAACGUUUAUUAUUAUUAGAAAAAGACAACAAACAUAAAUUAAGUGAUUGAUGUGAUCGUUCAUGGGUAUAGGGCUUUUCAUUCACAGUCAUUUGUUUCGAGCUUCUGUCAUGUGUCACAUAAUAUUAAUAUAUCUACGUCAUACGUUAUUGAUAUAACCAAUGAUACAAACCAAAGACGUAUGACGUAGAUAUAUUAAUAUUGUGUGAGACAUGACAGAAGCUCGAAACAAAUGACAAUCGAUGAAAAGCCCUAUUCUUUCAUUUUUCCAACUGUAUCUGUAAUAUACGCUGAGCUCAUAGGUAGAGGGGAUAAUUAAAAAAUCGCGAGAGUCAGUAGUGACAAGUCUGUAAACCUUUACUGGAAAUUUGACAUAAAUGUCAAAGUGAAUAAUUUAAAAUUGAAAUUAAAAACAUUAAUUAGAAAAAAUAUUAGUUGGUCAAAGCUGUGGUAUAUAUUUUUAUCUUAAGUAUACUUACGGUUUAAAUACUGAAUUAAGUUUUUUUAAUAUUUUGUAAUAUCUAAUUAUAAUUAGAUAUAAAUCAUCUAAGCGCCAUCUACACGAUAAUUGUGAAUGUAUCUGAAGUAAGAAAUUAAUAUUUCAUUAAGAGAAUGUUAAAACAGUUAGCAAAAUUUUUAAAAAAUCGAUUACAAUUUAAUUACUUUUUUGCGUUGUAAAUAUUAAGCGAUAAAAUUAAAUAAUAAAUUUAAAAAUUACUGGUGAAAGUUGAAUUAGUAAUCCGCUAGGAGCGACACCAGCGAAGUUCAGAGCGUAUAAGUGGGUGCGUUUGGACGACCAUAGCGGAUGACUGUCAGCAGAAAUCGGCUGAGUGGUUGUAUCCAGCUGUGAUAGGGAAAGCUUAGUAAAUCUCUCAGCGGCUGACUUCCAGCGGUGACGUCUGACAGCUACUGCUGGCUCAGCUGUCCAGCCGCUGUGGUCAUCCGAACGCACCCAGUGUCAGUCAUGUUUUCCUAUAGUAUAGAAGGCUUAGAUAGAAGGUUAUGUAAGAUUUUUGUUUGUUUAUUUUUUCUUCUUCUUUUGUGGCCUUUGGAAGCUGUGCCCAUUUAGCCAGCAACAUUUCUUAAAAUUAAUGCCUAACUAAACCUACCAUACAAGAAAACCAUUACGAACCUAAACGACCAAUCAAGGAUACGGAAGGGAAAGUAAAGUUAUUUAAAAAAUAAACCGUUGUUAAAAUAUAAACUAUACAAAUCAAAUAUAAAUUGAAAACAAUAAUUUGACAUUAUAAAUGUAACCUCCAAUAUUAUGACAGACGUCAGUUACCAUGACAUCAUAUAUUAUACUCGUCACUAAUUCUAGCCAAUGAAAUGCUUGCUGUAAUAGGAAUGGCAUAUCAAAAAAAUCUGACUAUUCUCUAUAUAUUUUUUCAAAUUUAGAAUAUGGCAACAAGGGGAAAGUUAUGUGCAUUCCUCAUUGUUUGACUUUUCCUAUAUCUUUAGUAUCAGGUCAUCAUACAAUACAAAUACUUCCUGCAAUGAUUGGAAGUAAUGCAGAACAAGAAUUGAAUUUGUAAUCGCUGAGAAAAAGGAUUGGUGUACAAAAUAAGAAAGUAUAUAAAGGACAACAAACAUCUUCCAUAAGCAAUCAAAAUUGUAUAACUGAAAUUCAGGAAAUAGAUUCUGCUCCACCUUUAGGUAUAAAAAAUAUUUUGACGUUUUUUUUAUUUAAUACACAAUUUAAUUUACCAUCUGAUCAUGAAGCUAUAAGUAAAUGGUGUGAAUGUUGAACACAUGAGGUAGAAGCUGCCAUGUGGCAACUCUCCUGUAUAAUAUAUUUUAUAUUAGUUCACAUAAAUAGUUAAUUUAUUAAGUCUGUUGGCCAUGGUUUCUUCAGUCACCGUUCAAAUCCAGGAGGGGUAUUUAGCAGUCUUGAUUCGUUACUUGGAUGAUCCGUUGUCCAUCAAGGAAGUUUCUUCUAAUUUCUUAUUAUUCUAAUUCCUAAUUUUAGAAGAUUAUUCUAAUUUCUUCCUCUACCAAGGAUGUGGCAGAGUCAUCUUGUAUAGGGUUUUGUUCAAGUGUAAACACUUUUUUGCGCCAGUCCAGAGCUGUCUGCCAGCGCUGUCUUGAAUAGAAAGGUGGUCUAUUUUUCAUGCCACUGGCAUUCCAGUGAGACUGGCACCAGUUUCUGGAUACAUGUAAACGUUACUUUAUUUUAUGUAAAUAUUAUUUUUAUUCUAGAAUCAAAGGGAGACUCUUUUAACAGGUAAAUGACGCUAUCAUUCUUUUUGUUCUAGAAAAACUGUAAAUAGUAUUUAAGGCAACGAUUGUGAAUGAGUGAGAAGUCUAAUAAAGCCACGACGAGAUACUGUAUCAGAGCGUACGAUUUGGAGGUAUUUUUGAUUAGAUAAAUUUUGUAAAGUACAAUAUAAAUUAGAUUUGAUAAUGUGUAGUAUUUCCUAAUAAAUUAAAUACUAUUAAGUGUUUAUUGUUCGUGUAAGUUAGUGUGGUAAAUAAAUAAUAUGAAGUAAG